GACGAACGCUGGCGGCGUGCUUAACACAUGCAAGUCGAACGGAAAGGCCCUGCUUUUGUGGGGUGCUCGAGUGGCGAACUGGUGAGUAACACGUGAGUAACCUGCCCUUGACUUUGGGAUAACUUCAGGAAACUGGGGCUAAUACCGGAUAGGAGCUCCUGCUGCAUGGUGGGGGUUGGAAAGUUUCGGCGGUUGGGGAUGGACUCGCGGCUUAUCAGCUUGUUGGUGGGGUAGUGGCUUACCAAGGCUUUGACGGGUAGCCGGCCUGAGAGGGUGACCGGCCACAUUGGGACUGCGAUACGGCCCAGACUCCUACGGGAGGCAGCAGUGGGGAAUAUUGCACAAUGGGCGGAAGCCUGAUGCAGCAACGCCGCGUGCGGGAUGACGGCCUUCGGGUUGUAAACCGCUUUCGCCUGUGACGAAGCGUGAGUGACGGUAAUGGGUAAAGAAGCACCGGCUAACUACGUG
rnacentral:rRNA from 1 species